rnacentral:rRNA from 1 species
UACAGAGGUCUCAAGCGUUGUUCGGAUUCAUUGGGCGUAAAGGGUGCGUAGGCGGCGCGGUAAGUCGGGUGUGAAAUCUCGGAGCUUAACUCCGAAACUGCAUUCGAUACUGCCGUGCUUGAGGACUGGAGAGGAGACUGGAAUUUACGGUGUAGCGGUGAAAUGCGUAGAUAUCGUAAGGAAGACCAGUGGCGAAGGCGGGUCUCUGGACAGUUCCUGACGCUGGAGACGCGAAAGCGUGGGGAGCGAACAGG